UGAGUAACGCGUAAAGAACUUGCCCUUUAGACUGGGAUAACAGAGGGAAACUUCUGAUAAUACUGGAUAAGUUAGUAUAUCGCAUGAUAUGCAAAUGAAAGCUACGGCACUAAAGGAGAGCUUUGCGUCCUAUUAGCUAGUUGGUAAGGUAAGAGCUUACCAAGGCGAUGAUAGGUAGCCGGCCUGGGAGGGUGGACGGCCACAAGGGGACUGAGAUACGGCCCUUACUCCUACGGGAGGCAGCAGAA
rnacentral:rRNA from 1 species